GCCUAAUACAUGCAAGUCGAGCGGACUUUAAAAGCUUGCUUUUAAAGUUAGCGGCGGACGGGUGAGUAACACGUGGGCAACCUGCCUGUAAGACUGGGAUAACUUCGGGAAACCGGAGCUAAUACCGGAUAAUCCUUUUCCUCUCAUGAGGAAAAGCUGAAAGACGGUUUACGCUGUCACUUACAGAUGGGCCCGCGGCGCAUUAGCUAGUUGGUGAGGUAACGGCUCACCAAGGCGACGAUGCGUAGCCGACCUGAGAGGGUGAUCGGCCACACUGGGACUGAGACACGGCCCAGACUCCUACGGGAGGCAGCAGUAGGGAAUCUUCCGCAAUGGACGAAAGUCUGACGGAGCAACGCCGCGUGAGUGAUGAAGGUUUUCGGAUCGUAAAACUCUGUUGUUAGGGAAGAACAAGUACAAGAGUAACUGCUUGUACCUUGACGGUACCUAACCAGAAAGCCACGGC
rnacentral:rRNA from 2 species